GUGCCAGCAGCCGCGGUAAUACGUAGGGGGCUAGCGUUGUCCGGAAUCAUUGGGCGUAAAGAGCGUGUAGGCGGUCCGGUAAGUCCGUUGUGAAAGUCAGGGGCUCAACCCUUGAAUGCCGGCGGAUACUGUCGGGCUAGAGUCCGGAAGAGGCGAGUGGAAUUCCCGGUGUAGCGGUGAAAUGCGCAGAUAUCGGGAGGAACACCUAUGGCGAAGGCAGCUCGCUGGGACGGUACUGACGCUGAGACGCGAAAGCGUGGGGAGCAAACAGGAUUAGAAACCCUGGUAGUCC
rnacentral:rRNA from 1 species